rnacentral:rRNA from 1 species
AUUGAACGCUGGCGGCAGGCCUAACACAUGCAAGUCGAGCGGGGUUUUCGAACCUAGCGGCGGACGGGUGAGUAAUGCGUAGGAAGCUACCCGAUAGAGGGGGAUACCAGUUGGAAACGACUGUUAAUACCGCAUAAUGUCUACGGACCAAAGUGUGGGACCUUCGGGCCACAUGCUAUCGGAUGCGCCUACGUGGGAUUAGCUAGUUGGUGAGGUAAUGGCUCACCAAGGCGACGAUCCCUAGCUGGUUUGAGAGGAUGAUCAGCCACACUGGAACUGAGACACGGUCCAGACUCCUACGGGAGGCAGCAGUGGGGAAUAUUGGACAAUGGGCGCAAGCCUGAUCCAGCCAUGCCGCGUGUGUGAAGAAGGCCUUCGGGUUGUAAAGCACUCUCAGUAGGGAGGAAGCGUUGUGUGUUAAUAGUACACAGCGUUGACGUUACCUACAGAAGAAGCACCGGCUAACUCUGUGCCAGCCGCCGCGGUAACAC